UACGAAGGUCCCAAGCGUUAUCCGGAUUUAUUGGGUUAAAAGGGUGCGUAGGCGGGUUAUUAAGUCAGUGGUGAAAGCCUUCAGCUCAACUGAAGAAUUGCCAUUGAUACUGAUGAUCUUGAGUAUGAUUGAGGUGGGCGGAAUGUGUCAUGUAGCGGUGAAAUGCUUAGAUAUGACACAGAACACCGAUUGCGAAGGCAGCUCACUAAGUCAUAACUGACGCUGAUGCACGAAAGCGUGGGGAGCAAACAGG
rnacentral:rRNA from 1 species